CCUUCGUUCUUGGCAUGCAUGCUGUUUCCCCAGUCUCGUGUGUGUGUGGAGGGACAAAAAGGUGCAGUGCUAUGUCUUCCGUGCCAGGAUGUUUGUUGUCCUCUGGUUCUAUCCUCAAUCGCUGGUACACUA